UAAUUCCCACGAGGCAGCGAAGAAGCUGGU
rnacentral:piRNA from 1 species